GCCUGCGCUAACUAAGCUAAACUAAGCUAAAUUCACCAAGAAUUUAUGACGAUGGUUUCCAGGGAGAACCGCGUAGAAGUCAACCUGACAAGAAUACUGCAGGUGUCCACUGUAUCCGGUAGCAUACUGAGAUGGAUACGGACACCUUCAGAUCGGCUCGGCUCAGGAGUCAGGACCCGGAGUUGUAGAGUCGCCAGCCCCGACAAAAUAGAGUUCUACUCUACUUGUCCAUAAAAACUUUAACUGUAACAAAUUACAUACUUCGUAAAAAGGGUACAGUGCCUCACGAGUAGAGGAUAUAUAUGUGGCGGCGGUCGAGGCGCCUGGUGCACAAUAACAAUUGAUAUUCGUCGAAUUAUUCAA